GUAAAAGUCGUAACAAGGUUUCCGUAGGGUGAGUGACCCCCCAACGCCGAGGGGCUUUCGACCGGCUGCUAACUUCUUUCCAGUGAACCUGCGGAAGGAUCAUUAACGAGCGAGGGCCCACGGGGCCCGACCUCCCACCCUUUGACGUCGCGAUACCGUUGCUUCGGCGGGACCGCCCUCGUGGCGGCCGGGUGUUUGCUCGCGAACCUCCCGCCGGGGGACCACCCCAACACCGAUUUUUCAACCGUGCGGUCGGAGUUUGACAAACAACAAACAAAACUUUCAACAACGGAUCUCUUGGUUCUGGCAUCGAUGAAGAACGCGGCGAAAUGCGAUAAGUAAUGUGAAUUGCAGAAUUCAGUGAAUCAUCGAAUCUUUGAACGCACAUUGCGCCCCUUGGCAUUCCGAGGGGUAUGCCUGUUCGAGCGUCAUUUCACCAAUCAAGCAACGCUUGGUGUUGGGUGCCCGGCCGGCCCCCCGGGGCCGGCCCACCCCCAAACGAUCGGCGAGGCGUGGACCCCGGGCGUGUUAGAAUCUCGAAACGUCAGGAGCACCCACGGCCCCCAGCCGUCAAAAAACCCCCACUCAAGGUUGACCUCGGAUCAGGUAGGAAUACCCGCUGAACUUAAGCAUAUCAAUA
rnacentral:misc_RNA from 1 species